CAGGAAGAAAUUAAAGAAUGAGCUGUUCCAUUGGUCUCAGCCUUGCUAAGGUAUUUGCAUACUGGAUAUCUGGGAUUUGCAGAGAAACAUGGAGAUGAAUGUGAAUAGAAUAAUUAUCUGUUCUUCAAGGCCGACAGUGUCAGACGAAUGCUUGUUUCCUAUCAAGAAUGUCUGAGGGAUUUUCAGCCAAGGGAACCACAGAACUGGAGAACAGACAACACUAGGAAUGUUUUAUCCACUAGCUAAUUAUUGAGAAAAUAUUCUGAG
rnacentral:lncRNA from 1 species